GCUGGUGUGGCUCAAUUGGUAGAGCAGCUGACUUGUAAUCAGCAGGUUGUAGGUUCGAGUCCUAUCACCAGCUCCA
rnacentral:tRNA from 5 species